rnacentral:rRNA from 1 species
CAAUAGCGUAUAUUAAAGUUGUUGCAGUUAAAAAGCUCGUAGUUGGAUUUCUGGUGGGAGCGACCGGUCGGCGCUUAACGGCGUGUGCACUGGAGUUGUCUCUUGCCAUCCUUGAGGAGAACGUGUCUGGCAUUAAGUUGUCGGGCUUGGGAUCCUCAUCGUUUACUGUGAAAAAAUUAGAGUGUUUAAAGCAGGCAUUUGCUGUGAAUACAUUAGCAUGGAAUAAUAAGAUAGGACUUUGGUGCUAUUUUGUUGGUUUGUGUACCAAGGUAAUGAUUAAUAGGGAUAGUUGGGGGUAUUCGUAUUCAAUUGUCAGAGGUGAAAUUCUUGGAUUUAUGGAAGACGAACAACUGCGAAAGCAUUUACCAAGGAUGUUUUCAUUAA